rnacentral:rRNA from 1 species
CAGUAGCCGCGGUAAUACAGAGGGUGCGAGCGUUAAUCGGAUUUACUGGGCGUAAAGCGUGCGUAGGCGGCUUUUUAAGUCGGAUGUGAAAUCCCUGAGCUUAACUUAGGAAUUGCAUUCGAUACUGGGAAGCUAGAGUAUGGGAGAGGAUGGUAGAAUUCCAGGUGUAGCGGUGAAAUGCGUAGAGAUCUGGAGGAAUACCGAUGGCGAAGGCAGCCAUCUGGCCUAAUACUGACGCUGAGGUACGAAAGCGUGGGGAGCAAACAGGAUUAGAUACCCCAGUAGUCCCUGUCUCUUAUAC